UAGAGUUUGAUCCUGGCUCAGGAUGAACGCUAGCUACAGGCUUAACACAUGCAAGUCGAGGGGAAACGGCAUUGAGUGCUUGCACUCUUUGGACGUCGACCGGCGCACGGGUGAGCAACGCGUAUCCAACCUUCCCAUUACUGUGGGAUAACCUGCCGAAAGGCAGACUAAUACCGCAUAGUCUUCGAUGACGGCAUCAGAUUUGAAGUAAAGAUUUAUCGGUAAUGGAUGGGGAUGCGUCUGAUUAGCUUGUUGGCGGGGUAACGGCCCACCAAGGCAACGAUCAGUAGGGGUUCUGAGAGGAAGGUCCCCCACAUUGGAACUGAGACACGGUCCAAACUCCUACGGGAGGCAGCAGUGAGGAAUAUUGGUCAAUGGACGGAAGUCUGAACCAGCCAAGUAGCGUGCAGGAUGACGGCCCUAUGGGUUGUAAACUGCUUUUGUAUGGGGAUAAAGUUAGGGACGUGUCCCUAUUUUGCCGGUACCAUAAAAAUAAUGACCAGCUAAUUCCGUGCCCGCCGCCGCGGUNUUNCGGNCGGUCCUGGCGUUUUCCGGCUUUNUUGGGUUUCNCGGGCGCGUCGGCUGGCGCUUNNGUGUGUUGUGCCCUGUGGUCGCUCGGCGUCUGUCUUGCGGCGCUUGCUGGUUUCCUUGCGUNCGCGCGCNGUUGGCGGCUUUCGUCGUGUGGCGGUGNNNUGCUUUGUUGUGGCGCGCCCUUCCGGUUGCGGGCGCUGCUGUCGGGNGCGCCNCUGNCGCUUCGNCUCGNNGGUGCGGCUCUCAAACAGGUUUAGAAUACCCUGGUAGUCCGCACAGUAAACGAUGGAUGCCCGCUGUUGGUACCUGGUAUCAGCGGAUAAAGUGAAAGCAUUAAGCAUCCCACCGGGGAGUACGCCGGCAUCGGUGAAAAUUCAAAGGAAUUGACGGGGGCCCGCACAAGCGGAGGAAACAUGUGGUUUAAUUCGAUGAUACGCGAGGAACCUUACCCGGGCUUGAAUUGCAGAGGAAGGAUUUAGAGAUAAAAACGCCCUUCGGGGUCUCUGUGAAGGUGCUGCAUGGUUGUCGUCAGCUCGUGCCGUGAGGUGUCGGCUUAAGUGCCAUAACGAGCGCAACCCCUCUCUUCAGUUGCCAUCAGGUUAAGCUGGGCACUCUGGAGACACUGCCACCGUAAGGUGUGCCCAAGGUGGGGAUGACGUCAAAUCAGCACGGCCCUUACCUCCGGGGCUACACACGUGUUACAAUGGUCGGUACAGAGGGAUGGUGUAAUGCAAAUUGCAUCAAAUCUUGAAAGCCGGUCCCAGUUCGGACUGGGGUCUGCAACCCGACCCCACGAAGCUG
rnacentral:rRNA from 1 species